GGCUAGUCCAAAGGUAGAGAGUUAUCUCAGUUGAGUGUUCACUGUCGGUUACCGAUCAAACUCCUUGUUCCACUCUUUCUCCCUUUCUCACUACUGCACUUAACUAAUCAAAG
ensembl:misc_RNA Y_RNA Y RNA